GAUGAACGCUAGCUACAGGCUUAACACAUGCAAGUCGAGGGACCGGCGCACGGGUGAGUAAUACGUAUCCAACCUGCCCUUUACUCGGGGAUAGCCUUUCGAAAGAAAGAUUAAUACCCGAUAUAAUGGAUGGGGAUGCGUUCCAUUAGGUUGUUGGUGAGGUAACGGCGCACCAAGCCUUCGAUGGUUAGGGGUUCUGAGAGGAAGGACCCCCAAAUUGGAGCUGAGGCCCGGUCCAAACUCCUACGGGAGGCAGGAGUGAGGAAUAUAGGUCAAUGGACGCUAACCUGAACCAGCCAAGUAGAGUGAAGGAUGAAGGCUUAUGAGUCGUAAACUUCUUUUAUAUAAGAAUAUGUAUUAUAUGAAUAAGGAUCGGCUAACUCCGUGCCAGCAGCCGCGGUAAUAC
rnacentral:rRNA from 1 species